UUGUAAAUCUUGCUAUUGAACUAGGGCUGUAAGUUCUGAACCCAACCACACCUUCGCUCGCUGUUAAGUGCAGUCAGUUCAAACUCGAAUUCUUCAGCAUCUGAACCCAAACACCGUUCAGAAUCAGAACCUAUCCAUUUCCAAUCGCUUAUUCAUCUCAAUUCUCCAAUUCAUGACAUAAACGCUUCUCUCGAAUUCGCCAUCGCAAUCUUACCCUCACACUCUUCUCUCCGUUCGGAAUCUCUCGCCGUUAGAAGAUGUCAGGCGGUUUUUUUCGAGGUACAUCUGCGGAUCAGGAUACUCGGUUUUCGAACAAGCAAGCGAAGCUGCUUAAGUCGCAGAAGUUUGCGCCGGAAUUGGAGCAUCUGGUGGACAUGACGAAGGUGAAUAUGGACGUAAUGAGGCCUUGGAUCACUAGAAAAGUGACCGAGCUUCUUGGGUUUGAAGACGAAGUGCUUAUUAACUUCAUACAUGGUCUUCUGGAAGCGAAGAAAGUUAACGGGAAGGAAAUUCAAAUACAAAUUACUGGAUUCAUGGAAAAAAACACCGGCAAGUUCAUGAAGGAGCUUUGGACACUUCUUCUCAGUGCACAGAAAAAUGCCAGUGGUGUUCCUCAGCAGUUCUUGGAUGCUAAAGAAGAAGAACUCCUGAAAAAGAAGGCUGAAAGCGAUAGGAUAACAAGUGAAAUUCAGAGGAAGAAAGAUAAGGAGAGUAAAGAUAUCAUGGAAGAGAGGCUGAAGAAACUGGAUGGUCGUCUAGAUGCAAAGGAUAAUGAUGCUGCUUCAGAUCCAACUUUGAAGUCCAGGGAUUCAGGGCACUACAUUCAGGAUGGAAAACAAACUGACAGGAAUGGUGUUAGAGCAAGGAACAGGAUUUCUCCACAUUCACCUGCAGUUUUCAAUUCACCUUAUCGAGGCUCACCUGCAAGGGCAAUCAGUAAAUCAUUUUCGAAUUCCCGAAGUUAUUCAAGAUCUCCAAAGGGUGGAGGGCGUUCCAUUUCUUCUGAAAGGAUACAGCGGUCUUCACGACGACAAUCUAUUUCUCCUCGAAGACGUUCACCACAAAGAUCUCCUCACAGGAGGCCAUCUUAUUCAAGGAGAAGAUCUAGAUCUAGCUCAUCUUCUCCUAUCCGACGUGGAAUGCAUUCUCCAUUUCGUCGACGCAGAACACCCUCUCCUGUUCAAAGACGCAGAACACCCUCUCCUGUUAGACGGAGAUCGCCCUCUCCAGUUCGACGACGAAGAUCACCCUCUCCAGUACGACGACGCAGAUCACCACCUUCUCCAGUACGACGACGCAGAUCACCACCUUCUCCCGUACGACAACGCAGAUCACCUUAUCCUGCACGGAGACGCAGAUCUCCCUCUCCUGUGCGACGACGCAGAUCACCUUCUCCUAUACGACGACGUAGAUCACCUUCUCCAAUGAACCGACGGAGAUCACCAUCACCUAUUAGACGAAGGUCACCCUCACCACUGCAACAGAGAUCUCCUAGUAUGCGGCGCAGGUCACCUUCACCGAUGCGUCGAAUACCACUAAGCCGUGGACGGAGGUCAAGCUCUCCAAUGCAAUCCCCCGUAAUGCGAAGGUAUGAUAGUAGAACUCCACGGCGCAGGUCUCCAUCUCCUUUGCAGCAUAGGUCACCUGUUUCGGGCAAGAAAAGAUCUGCAAGUGCCUCCCCUAAGAGGUCUCCUUCUCAAGAUGAAUGGAGUUCUCAGUCUCCUGUACGUGUAUCUCCAUCUCCAGUCAGGAGGAGAACUUCACCAAGACACCAAAGAAGUCCUUUGCAGUCUUCUAUGGGAAGAGUCAGGGUGCAAAAAAUAUUGUCACCGGAAGUUUAUCAACCCUCUAGUCCUUUGCGGUCUGUACAGAGAGAUAAAAAUGGCAAAGCUUCAGGCUAUAAAUCACAAGAUUCAAUGUCCACACCAGAUAAGUCUCCAAUCCGAUCAAUAUCACCACCACAAGCAAGAAGUAAGACCAGCAGUAAAAAUAGAAGUCCACAUGAAAUCUCUCUAAGGCAACCAAGAGAUAAAUUGACCAAUAAAGGAAGCUUGAGUCCCCGCUUGAGUCCCCCAAAGAAGCCAACAAACCAUAAACCUACCCAUGACAUCCCAGAGACAAGUGAAGGAGCAGAAGAAGCAUAUUAUUCUAGAGAGCGCAAAGAUCCUAAAUCAAAUUCAUCCGAAAAGAAAUCAAGACACUCCCCAGUUAGUAAGCGAAUAGGUUCAUCUGCAAAAUUUCAUGACGAGGAUGAGUUUUAUCCUGAAAGGGCAGCAAGUCAUCUUGCUUCUGAUACUAAGCAUUAUGAUAAUAAUGAAAGGAAUAAGAAAGGCCAGGAUAUAAAAUGUGAUAAAUCUUCUGGCAAGGGAGGCGAGUCUCCUGGUCAACAGAAGUCACCAAUGAACAAGGAGUUUUUUUCUGGCGAGAAGCUUCGCGAUACUUAUGCUGCAGAAACAAAAAAAACUGAUGACAAGGAUCAAAUCAAUUCAAAAUAUGCCAAAAGUAGUGAUCAGCACCACAAAUCAGAAGGCACUCAAGAUUUAGUUGGAAAAGUUGAUCACGUCAAUCAGAGUGCUUCUUAUGAUUCUGUUUCUGAAGAAAGUGACAAGCAUAGAAGGGAUGGAAAGGAUAGGAGAAAGCAUAAAAGGUCAGAGAGAAAAGUUGUUUCUUCUGAUGAGAAUGAUAGUUAUGAUUCUGAGUUAGAAGACAGGAAAGAGGCCAAGAGGAGGAAAAAGGAGGAGAAGAAGAAGCUGCGAAAGGAGGAGAAGCAUCGAAAGCGGGAAGAGAGACGGCGAAAAAGGGAAGAGCGGCAUGCUGAAAAGCUGAAAAUGAAGAGUAAACCAGGCUAUAUUUCAGACAAUGAGGAAGCUGAACGAAGGGAUGGUCAUCAAAGUGAUGAUGAAGAAGAACCAUACGAUCCAAAGAAGCUUGAGAUUGAGCUGCGUAAUAAGGCUCUCGAGUCCCUCAAAGCAAAGAAGAGCAUGAACAAUUAACUAUUAUACUUCUUUGUUUUAAGUGUUAAAAACUUCAGAAAUAUCUUUAGCUUCUUUGAACAUAUGGUUUUGCAAAUGUUAUGUUAUUUGUUUUUUGGUAAAUGUUUGAUGUUGUCUAUCUUUAAUGCUGGCAGCUGAAUUGGAUAAAUGACGAUUUCUGAGCAAAUCUGUUGAGUACAACUCUAUGCAGACAUUCCUCUAUAUUUACCGAUGAAUUUAUGUCAACUCUAGAUGACCUGGUGAGCAGACCAUGUGCAGAACUAUAUUUUGAACUCCAAAUCAGGUGAAGUUUUGUUUUCUGGAAUUCUCCGAGUUGGUCCAUCUUGAACUUGAUGCAGCUGUAUGUUUUGUACACAUGUGUUGUCCUAUAUGUUCUUUGAUUGUGUUCUAGAAUAUGUAAUUAUAUUAUUUUUAUCA